CUGUCGCUUUCACACGUCUUUUAGUAACUCUUUUCUCUUUUCUUGUUUCAGCACAUGAGAAACUUUCUCCUGCUCAUCUGCUUUUGUUAACUAAAUGCAGGAGCAGGCAGAGCUGUCUUUACUGCAGGAAGCCACACACACCUGCAGACCCGCCUCUGCCAUCUGGUCCUUGCUUCUCCAGGUGUGGUCGGCAUCCCUGGGAAGCUUGUUUACACAAGCUUCUGGGGUCUCACUUUCGGGGAUUUUGAUUCAUAGGAAUAAGGUGGACUUAGAAAUCUGUGUUUUAAUAAGCACCCCCAACCCUUCCUCAGAGAUCUUACUAUAAAGCUCAAGAACCAUUCAUUGGUCCAGGUUCAUCUGGUCUAGGAGAGUAUGAAAGGGAAGCGUAAUGAAAGCACAUGUUCACUCAUGGCUGCCCUUGACUUCCUUUGGAAUUCUCACUCCUUUUGGCCCCAGUUCCAUGGGUCUUUGUACAACUGGCUGCUACCACCAUGCCUGGCUCUGGGGCUCUUCCAUUCCCUUGGCUUGGCUGUGGACAAAUACAUACUCUCUUUGGCCUGGUGCAGCUGUGGAUGCCUGCCAAUUGUUUUCUAGUCGUUGCUCUGCUGCUAAGAAUUAGUUCACACCAAGUUUUGAUCCCACUGAUUGAGAAGAAGCCCAAUCAGGGCUCCUGAUUAUGGUGGCUAAGAGCAUGGUAGUUACGGUCUUGGCCAUGGAAGUUGGAGGGACCUGAGUUUAAAUCUCAGCCCCACUCAGUAACAUGGCUGUGUGGUUUAAGUCAGACACAGGAUCUUUUUGGGCCUCUACUUUCAGAUCUGCAAAAUAGGAUGAAGAUAUUUUCUGUACCUAUGUCAAAGAGUUGAUGAGUGGGAAGAAUGAAAACAUAUUCUAAAGAACAGCAAUGGACAAGACAGCCUGUUUUUGAUGGUGAAAAUAGCAACAUUGUUAGAGAGGAGAAUGGAAAGUCCGUCAGAGACUGAUAAAUUAAAUACGUUGUUCAGCCAGAACCAGGUUCUCCCUACGUUGUCCAGGCUGGUCUUAAACUGCUGGGCUCAAGAGAUCCUCCUGACUUGGCCUCCCAAAGCACUGAGAUUACAGUGUGUUAAGUGAGUCUCCUGAAGGCAGCAGAUAGUUGGUUGGCAAGGAACAAAUGUGGCACAUCAGAGGCAGGUGGUCCAGAGCCCAUGGUAUAAAACAUCAUGUAAUGAAAUCUCAAAUGUCAAAUCUCAUCUGUGAGAUAAGUUACCAUGCAAAGCAGGAUAUGAGUACAGAACUGGCACCUUCUUCUCUACUGCAGCAUUUCAUAAAGUCAUGUAUGGAAUAUCUUUAAUAAUAAAUUAUGCAAUGUAGAAUUAUAG
rnacentral:lncRNA from 10 species